rnacentral:tRNA from 1 species
UGGGGUUGUGGCUCAGUGGUAGAGUGCUCCCCGAGCACGUGGGAGGCCCUGGGUUCGAUCCUCAGCACCACAA